rnacentral:rRNA from 1 species
CCUACGGGAGGCAGCAGUGAGGAAUAUUGGUCAAUGGCCGGGAGGCUGAACCAGCCAAGUCGCGUGAGGGAAGACGGCCCUACGGGUUGUAAACCUCUUUUGUCAGGGAGCAAGGUGCAGGUCGGGACCUGCUGUGAGAGUACCUGAAGAAAAAGCAUCGGCUAACUCCGUGCCAGCAGCCGCGGUAAUACGGAGGAUGCGAGCGUUAUCCGGCUUUAUUGGGUUUAAAGGGUGCGCAGGCGGAGGCACAAGUCAGCGGUAAAAUCGAGGGGCUCAACCCCGCCGAGCCGUCGGAACUGGGGGCCGUGAGGGCGGCGGAGGCAUGCGGAAUGCGCGGUGUAGCGGUGAAAUGCAUAGAUAUCGCGCAGAACCCCGAUUGCGAAGGCAGCGUGCCGUGCCGCCACUGACGCUGAGGCACGAAAGCGCGGGGAUCGAACAGGAUUAGAUACCAUAGUAGUC